AUGCAGAGCUGGAAGGAGCCUGGGUGCCUGACGGUGGUGAAACAGAGAGAAAUCCACUUCCACCUUGUUCCUCUGGCACUCAGAUCGGAACCUAAACUCCCAGAAUCAGCAGCCAUACGACCACAGACGAGUAAUCCGGUCUCUAAACCCAUUUCCAAGUGUUAAAUUAGCGCCUUACAUGCAAAACUGCUUUCAAGAGUCCCCUGCUUACUGUUUUUGAGGAGGAAGCAUUGUUGAGACCCUGCCCUCAUUGUUGUAGAGGCAAGAGUCUAAAUUGUCAAAGGAUGGAGAGGAAAAGAUACCGAAUGAUGCUAGCUUUUCAAGCUCGUGUUAUCCUGAGAGAGAGAACCAGGAUCCCAUAAGAUCUGGGCUUUGAUGUGAGAAACAUCUGUGGAUGGCUGAAAGUUCAAGCCUUUCAAGUCCUCACUGUGAUGCUUCCAAGGAUCAGGAGUGAACAUGACAUAAAUUUUCUUUUAAAAGAAA